rnacentral:rRNA from 1 species
UGGGGAAUCUUGCGCAAUGGGCGAAAGCCUGACGCAGCGACGCCGCGUGGGGGAUGAAGCUUUUCGGAGUGUAAACCCCUUUCGACCCGGAAGAAAGCCCGCAAGGGUCUGACGGUACGGGUAUAAGAAGCCCCGGCUAACUUCGUGCCAGCAGCCGCGGUAAUACGAGGGGGGCGAGCGUUGUUCGGAAUUAUUGGGCGUAAAGGGUGCGUAGGCGGUUUGGUAAGUCUUGUGUGAAAUCUCCAGGCUCAACUUGGAGUCUGCACGAGAAACUGCCGGGCUUGAGUGUGGGAGAGGUGAGUGGAAUUGCAGGUGUAGCGGUGAAAUGCGUAGAUAUCUGCAGGAACAUCCGAGGCAAAAGCGGCUCGCUGGAUCGCAACUGACGCUGAGAGACGAAAGCUAGGGGAGCAAACAGGAUUAGAUACCCUGGUAGUCCUAGCCCUAAACGAUCAGGACUGGGCGUGGGCCCUGUACGGGGCUCGUGCCGGAGCUAACGCGUUAAGUCCUGCGCCUGGGGGGUACGGUCGCAAGACUG